AUGGGUCGCUAGGGGCGCUGUAUGCUGAGAGGUGAAAACCGACCCUUUAACCUGACCCGGAUAAUGCCGGCGUAGGGAAGCUAUACGAUUUGCCC
rfam:Oribacterium sp. ACB1 genomic scaffold acqcx-supercont2.1, whole genome shotgun sequence.